GGAGGCGCAGGCCCAACCCACGCGCCCACUUGCCGGCGAUCGGCGGUGGCGGGUGGGCGGACGGUACACCUGUCGGGGUGCCCCGCAGCAGCGCCCCCCCUCUGAAAAUGGCGCCGGGGGCGACGUGGCCGCCGGAGCGCCGCUCGUCCGCCGCAUUUUUUAUUACUCCCCCGGAAACCCCACCCCACUUGGCGUGGGGGCGCCUGCUUUGCUUUGGGGGUUAUCUCUCUCUCUCUUCAUCUACAAAGAGCACCACCACCACCACACGCUCCGUCGCAUCCGACCAAAUCCAGCGCAAAAUCCAUCAUCGCCUCCCCCCCCUCGCGGCGGUCGUCGUCUUCGCGUCGUUCUCUCGGAGCCCCCCCUCGCUUAGAUUGGAUAGGAUCGCGCCAAUCGCGGUCUCGUCCUCCAUGGCAUCUGCCCCCCCCCCCCCUAGAUUUCCGUAGGAGGUAGCUAUCUAGCUUGCUGCCGCCCGUCGCAUGACCACGACCCUCGGAUCGUGGUGGCCGUUGGCUCCCCGAUUAGCUUCUCCCAUUGCCGCUCCUGUAGGCUGUAGCCCCAGCCGAUAUGCUUGCGUUGAUUUUGAUUCUGUGCCGCCUAGCGACCCGCCUCUCUUCAUCUAGGGUUCAACCUUCGAGCCGGCUUCUCAGUUGCUGCAAGUGGAGGCGGCAAGCUAGAGACAGCAACUGCAUAUCUUGCAAGAAAAUCGUAAGUCUUAUUAUUACUAUCGCUAAAUUAUUUUGCUAGUGUAGUUAAUCACCAAAACAUUAUCUUCUCUACCCCACACACUAUUAAAACAUGAUUAAUUCACUCCCUUUGACACUUGUCUCCUUGUAGAUGCCAUCAUACUCUACUCACUCCGUCCCAAAAUAUAAGCAUUUUUAGCUAUGAAUUUGGACAACCGUGUGUCCAGAUUCAUAGCCAAAAGUUAUAUUUUGGGACAGAGGUAGUAUGUUAAUAUUAUUAUUGGAACUGUUCAUGAAUUUUACUUUAUUUUUGAAAUUUUCCAUGUCUUUGCAUGCAUUAUUUCAUUUUCAUAUCUCGGGGGAUUAGGCGCUCCCAACCUAGUGAAGUACACAUUACAUAUUCCAAGAAUUAUUUGAAACAAGUUAUGAUGUAAUUAUCACCCAAGGUCUCGUGAUUAGUAUAAAAUAGUUUUUCUGAUAUACAUAACUAAUAAUCAUUCUAUCCGGUGGUACAAGUUAGUAACAUGAAAGUGCAUGGGUAUUUAAGAGGCACAAUUAGAGGUGUAAGGUCCAAGGUCUUGGGUCCUAGACAAAAUUAUUCUUUUGCUAUAAACUUUCUGGACAUAUUACAUUGAUGUGCUUCUGAUUAUUUUGUGUGUAUAAAGUUUUGCUAAAAGUACUAUUUGCUACCCGACCCCUCUCUCCCCCCCCUCCCCCCUCCCCCUUUCGGAGAAGAUGGCUUGGGGAGGUUACGAGCACUUGGCUCUGAUACCAGCUCUUGCCCAGGCAGUGCUAGGGGUCUAGUCACCAGAUAUGAGGAUAGGAAUGCAGCAUCUAGAUGCAAUGUUGGAUGUGAGAUUGGUAUGUGGCAACUGGAUGGUAAUCCAGUUUGUUGAUUUUCUUAAAAAAUAAUUAUGCAAACAUAAAUGCAGUACAUAAAGUAAAGACAAACUGUAAAUACCAUAACAUGGUAGUUUUAUAUAGAAUGGUCCAUGUGUUCAUUCAUAUACCUUGAUAGGUUGAAGAUAGAUCCUUCUGAAGAUUACACCAAGGACUUGGUACAACACGUUCAUAAUUAUACAUGUACAGGACUCUCACAAGGACUCUUACAUAGACUCUCACACUUGACUUUCAUAAGUCUUCUAUUUAGGUUAUAACUAUACUACUAACACUUAGAUGGAGUGGAGUGAAGUGUGAUGGCUGGUGGAGAGGUGAGAGGAAUGGUUGAGUGAGAUGUGUUUUGGUUGUGUUGUGUUCCUGAGCCCCUUAUAUAGGACUUGGUGAAGAAUCUUUAUGAUAUAUCCAUUUGACUUUAAGGGGUUUUAUGAUGUCCCUUUAGAUUUCACGGAGAGAAUCUUUGGUGAUGACGCUUUUGACCUUCAAUAAAAGUAUCAUAAUAUCGCCUUUUGACUAUAGGCAUAUCUUAUCUUGAAUAGUGUAGAUUCCUUAUCUUCAAUAGUGUUUUUUGUCGGGGAUGACAAGAUCUUCAUUCAUUAUCUUCACUGUAUAUCAUGGGUGCCAAUUGCAUCAUGUCAAUUUUUGAUGGCUCUGUUUUCUGAUACCACUGAGCCAGGCUUCUGUAGUAAAAUCUGGUUUAAUUAUACGUCCUGCUCCCUUGAAAUAUUCACAACUUUGGUUAUAAUAUCUGCUAAUAAAAAUCCUUGUGAUCUUGUUUUGGAAAACCAACUGAUAUUCAUAAUCUAUGGUAAUAGCUUCUUCAAUUUCUGCAGCUUCAGAAAAUAAUCUCCAAUUCUCAUGAUUUGCAAUCAUUGUAUACAUUUCUUCUUGUUCAUCUGAUAAUUUGCUAGGACCGCCUUCUUGAAAAUUAAAUUGUUUAUUCAUGAUAUAUAUAUAUAUAUAUAUAUAUAUAUAUAUAUAUAUAUAUAUAUAUAUAUAUAUAUAUAGUGAAUUGCUGGACGAGCAUGUGGUGUGAAUUUAGGUGGUAUGGAGGAGAAGAUAAUCCUGUAUCUUCCAUUUCUAAGUCUUCUACAGACAUCUUUUACAGCGCUUCCUAAAUCAAAUUGAAGAAUCCGAUCUAGUGUUGCAUAGAUAGAAUUGACAAGACCAUGAUCUAUAAUGGUUUGGAGAGAUAUUUCAUCAUGGUUGUAUGUGGGUAAGUUUCGGAAUCUUUGGAGAUUUAUUUCGGCUUUGAGAACCAUGAAUCUAUAGGAUGGGUCAGAGAUUACCUGAUGAUCAUCUAACCUUAAGAUAGGAAGCAUGUAUAUGAUUACUUGUAUGGCUGGGUUUCUUUCUCUGCCUUAUAAGAGAUGAAAGAAAUAAUCUUGAAAUAUUUUCAUUUGUCUCUCUUUAAACUUUUGCCAAACAAGGUCGAGGAUGUCUUGCCCAAAGCAAGAUAAAAUUUGCUCUGUCUUGAAGCUCAAUCUGGGUUGGAGAUAUUCAUAUGCGGUACUCAUGGGAUUUUGGCCUUUAAGUUUCUUUUGGUAAGAAUCUUUGUAGGCACACGGUCUACAUGGUGCUAUUGGCUGGGUCCGAAGUAUAUAUUGUGGAAGGAGGGAAUUGGGAUGAUUAUGCAAUAUAUAUGGUGUUUGGGCAAGAGCUGGUAUCAAAGGCAAGAGCAACUUUUUGUGACAAGUCAACAAGCACGAUCGCAGCACCUAAACGCCUUGCGGUGAUAUGGAGUCGCCAACCACCCGAGACCUGACGAAAACGGAGUCUAACUCAGACUCUACCGGUCAGACCGGCCACAUGCCACCGGUCUGACCGGCUCUCCGGCGGCGGUCUGACCGGCCCACAUAUGGCGGUCAGACCGGCCCUUUCUGGAGGAAACCGGCAGAGCCCCAAACUUUCGCAAUUUUUCCUAUUUCGACCCUAGGUGCCAAAUUUGGGUGUAAACAACAACCAAGAUGAAAUAUCUUUCCAAACCUCUCCAAACCAUUAUAGAUCGUGGUCUUGUCAAUUCUAUCUAUGCAACACUAGAUCAGAUUCUUCAAUCUGAUUUAGGAACGUUGUAAAAGAUGUCUGUAGAAGACUUAUACGGUGAAGAUAAUGAAUGAAGAUCUUGUUAUCCUCGACAAAAAACACUAUUGAAGAUAAGGAAUCUACACUAUUCAAGAUAAGAUAUGCCUAUAGUCAAAAGGCGAUAUUAUGAUACUUUUAUUGAAGGUCAAAAGCGUCAUCACCAAAGAUUCUCUCCGUGAAGUCUAAAGGGAUAAUCAUAAAACCCCUUAAAGUCAAAUGGAGAUAUCAUAAAGAUUCUUCACCGAGUCCUAUAUAAGGGGCUCAGGAACACAACCACAACACAUCUCACUCAACCAUUCCUCUUCACCUCUCCACCAGCCAUCACACUUCACUCCAUCUAAGUGUUAGUAGAUAGUUAUAGUUAUAACCUAAAUAAAAGACUUAUGAAAUUCUAAGUGUGAGAGUCUAUGUAAGAGUCCUUGUGAGAGUCAUGUACCUGUAUAAUUACGAACGUGUUGUACCAAGUCCUUGGUGUAAUCUUCAGAAGGAUCUACCUUCAACCUAUCAAGGGUUUUAUGGCCAUACCGAUGAUUUUCUUGCAAGCUGUGCAGUUGUUGUCUCAAGCUUGCUGCCUCCCUUUGCCAGAACUAUUGGAUAUGAAAACAGAGUCAAGAAAUGCAGAAUCCAGGUUUGCCAAAAGCAGCAAUAUAAAUAUGUUGUGUAUACCCAUAGAAACAUGCUGGGUUAUCAACUCACUAGUUUUUUUUUAAAAAAAAGGAAACUCAAUUACAUUAGACAAGAAGACUAUUUGAACUGAGGAAGUUAUUGUGUAUGGUAAAAGAAGUAACAAGAGGCAAACAAAGAAAUUUGUUGUAAACAAAUAAGGGAAGUAGUAUUAUCUUUCCAGUUUGAAGACAGUUUUUUUUCCAGAUAAGACGAUGAGCUACCAACUCUAUUGAAUUUGGUACUCCAUUAUCAGUCCUCGUUUUGCGGGGUGUUACCCCCUAUUGUAAAAAGCUUGUUUGUCUAAGCAAAAUGCUUCCAAGUCCCACCAAAGCUAGAUUAACUACAAAGUAUCUGCAGAGUGCACAAGUCAGGUAAAAAACUUGUUUGUCUAAGCAAAAUGCUUCCAAGUCCCACCAAGCUAGAUUAACUACAAAGUAUCUGCAGAGUGCACAAGUCAGAUAAAAAACUUGUUUGUCUAAACAAAAUGCUCCCAAGUCCCACCAAGCUAGAUUAACUACAAAGUAUCUGCAGAGUGCACAAGUCAGGUAAGUGAUGAUUAUAUCAUCCUGGUACAAGCUUUAUUGCGGUGAAAGAUAAGCAGUUAGUCUGAAAUCUGUACAGAUCUGUCAGCUGUUACCGAAGCAAAAGGUUCAAUGUGAACUUAAAGAUGCAGUACUGAUCCUUUUAAGAGGAUUUAACACAGAUUUAACAGGGUGUUCUGUAUGCGAGCUGUGAUGGGAUGGUUCUCUUCAGAAGCAUUUUAUUUUAACUAAAUUCAGAAGCAUUUCGAUGGCAUGAGGACUGUUCGAUUGACAAUUUGUAUGUACAUUUCCACCGUUUACGCAGCUUAGGAAUUGGACCAUAAUUAGUUGUGUACCUGCAAGUUUUGUAUACGAAUUAUCCUGAAGGGUGUUCGGUGGAUUGAAUAUUGCCCUUUUGGUUGUUUUGCGCAUCGUGGAUGCGGCUGCUCUACAUUUUUCUUAUAGGAAAUCAGCUUCUGAUAAAAGGGAUUAUUAUCUGUGUGAUCUACUGAUCGAUAUUUUACCCCUCUAGCUGAGUUUAUUAAGCCAA